AGUGGGCUCACAUUGAAGCAGAAGAUGAAGACGAGAUGAGGUCUGAGUUAAAAAAAGUACGUAUCGUCGCUGUAUACCCCAAACACAACGUAUGGGCUUGGAUACCUCAGGGAACCUUGCCUCAGGGUGCGACUCUCGAUGAAUUGCUGACCAAGUUGUCUGGUGGCGGGCAAAUCGCAAGAAACCGUUUGGUUGAAAGCAAACGUUGAACAGGGAAUCGUGUAUUAUCCUAAGGAAGACAGCUUGCCGAUGGAUUUGCUGGUCACACAGUCCGUCAGGGGAAUGACAGAUGCUGAAAUCGACAAGUAUAUCCAGGACGUUUGGGCCUAGUAAAAAUAAAAAGAAUGUUUGAAUAUGUUCAACACACUCUUACUCACGCAUACUUUUAGGUCUUGAAGCCUCGCUCUCAUGAGUAAAUUGCAACAUGAGCUCCACCUUUGAAUUUACUAUAGAGUAAAUUCUUAAACACGUCCGAAUUUAUCAUUAUGAUAAAUUCGCGGCACAUUUUGAAUUUAUCAAUAGAGUUAAUCAUAAAAGCACAAGCAAAAACAAGACUUUUUGUUAUAAAUGUAAUGGCACUAAAAGCGUGAAUGGUCACGCCGGGGUGGGGAGAUUUUCAUGAUUCUCAAAAAGAAAUUUUAAGAAAUUUUAAAAAGAAAAAAAAGUUAAAAAAGUUAGAUUUUGAAAAAACAAUUGAAAAGUUAAAUUAAGGUUAGGGGUUAGGUGUUAGAUGCCGCGAAUUUAUCAUUAUGAUAAACUCAAAAUGUGCCGCCAAUUUAUCAUAAUGAUAAAUUCGGACGUUCAAAGGUGGAGCUCAUGCAUGCUGGUAAAUUACGCAAGGUGAUUGCCUCACGAUUCAUGAUACGAUCGACCUCUAAACAACAACAAUGGAUUGGCAUCGACGAACUCUUUCUUAACAGUUUUUAAGCG
rnacentral:lncRNA from 1 species